rnacentral:rRNA from 1 species
GGAAGGAGGGAGUCGUAACAAGGUUUCCGUAGGUGAACCUGCGGAAGGAUCAUUG